ensembl:lncRNA
CGGGUGCUCUCUCUCUGAUGGAAGCCAGGGGCUAUGUCGAAAGCUCCCAUAUGUAAAGCCCCCGUGGCAAGAAACUGAGGGAGGCCUCCAGUUGACAGACAUUGAGGAAUUGAGCCACUCACUCCAACAUUCUUUGCAGGACUGAAUCUUGGCAACAACCAUAUGAGUGAGUUUGGAAGAAGGUCUCCAUUUGAGCCGUCAGAUGGGGUUGCAGCCCUGGCUGACUGCAGCGUAAUGGGAAACUCUGAGGCAGCCUGGCCUAGCUAUGCCACUUCCGGAUUUUAGACCCACAAAAACUCUUAGGUUACUCACCAGCUGAGGACACUCAAGCAAUCCUGGAGAGAGGUCUAUGAGGUGAGGGACUGAGACCACCUGCCAAAAGCUGGCACUACUUUGGUAGCCAUGGAAAGAUGCCAUUUUGGAGGUGGAUCCUCCAGUCCUCACCAACUCUUCAGAUAUAGCCCUAGCCAAUACCUUGACUGCAGUCUUAUCAGAGAGACCCUGAGUCUGAACUGAGACAGGCUUGUUGCUGAAAUUCAGCCUCUGUCCACUGGUGCUGAAUUA